rnacentral:rRNA from 1 species
UACGGAGGGUGCAAGCGUUGUCCGGAUUUAUUGGGUUUAAAGGGUGCGUAGGCGGCUAAUUAAGUCAGCGGUGAAAUUCCACAGCUCAACUGUGGAACUGCCAUUGAUACUGGUUGGCUUGAGUACAGAUGAGGUAGGCGGAAUGAUCAGUGUAGCGGUGAAAUGCUUAGAUAUUGUCAAGAACACCUAUUGCGAAGGCAGCUUACUAAGCUGUAACUGACGCUGAGGCACGAAAGCGUGGGGAUCAAACAGG